GGCCGGUUAGCUCAGCUGGUUGAGCAUGGUGCUGAUAACACCAAGGUCAUGGGUUCAAUUCCCAUUCGGUCC
rnacentral:tRNA from 1 species